rnacentral:lncRNA from 1 species
CAGACACAUAGAUCAGCAGAUGUUACAGCAGCUACAGCGAAAUGCUUGUGUUUCUAUAUCAACACAAUGCAAUACCAAUACGCAAAUUAAAGUGUGGCUGCUUUUGCAAGCCAUACUAAUGAUCCAGAAAGUCCAAAAUAAGAAAGACGUGCGACCCCUAGUCAUGCGACCCCCUAGUCAUGUAUCCAAAAUGAAGUAGCUUUACUAAAAUUGCAUAGGCCAACACAGUACUGUAAUAACUGCCAAUUACGUAGCAGACACUUUUAUACAAAAUGAUAACAGUCCACACAUCUUGGUAUGUGACCCCAGUGGGAAUCGAACCCACAAAUCUGGUGUUGCUACUGCCAUGCUCUUACGAACUGAGCCACGUACAGGACCCCUACAAUACAUAUGUACGAUACAAUACUGUAAAAUACAAUACACAAUUACAAUACAGGUGGACGUAGCCGCGAGAAGUAGGAGUGCAGAGGGUGCUACAGCAACCACAGAUAAAUAAAUUAAUAUGAAGGGGAAAAAAAUGAAAAACAAAUGUUCAUGUGAAAACAAAAGAGACACGUGAGGUCAGUUGUUCACAUGUGAAACCAUAUGUUCACAUGUAUUUAAUAUAGAGUUCACAUGUUAACACCAACGUUUCAGAUGUGAGGAGGAUAACAUGUUUUCACGUCACGUGAAUUGCAGAUUCACAUGUGAAAUUUGCCAUUUUACAUGUGAAAACCUAACUCUCACAUGUGUAUUUGCAGUUUCACAUGUGGAAAAAUGUCACAUGAAAAUCUAACUCUUACAUGUGGAAUUGCAUUUUCACAUGUGAAAAAUGUUUAAAUGUUGUCACGUGUAGUGUCACAUGUUGAUAUUUUGCAUCCCCAUGUUGUUUUCGUAAGGGACAGUAGCCUAGCGUAAACUGUAGGGUACAAGGGGGUAACUAGCCCCCUGGGGUAACUGCCCCCCCCCCGUAAUUCACAUUAACAACACCAAAUUAUUUUUCCAACACGCCCUGGCUGCCACUGCUCUUGCUCAACAAAACAUUUCCUCUGUGCCAUCACAACUUUUGGAGAUAUUUAAACAAAACGGUUUUGUGGUAAGUCGAUCUAAUUUCUUGAAAAUUAGAAAUAAAUGUAGAUAUAUUCCAAUGAAGUUAGAUCUAUAUAUAGUACCAGUCAAAAGUUGGGACCCACCUACUCAUUCAAGGGUUUUUCUUUAUUUUUACUAUUUUCUACAUUGUAGAAUAAUAAAUCAAAUCAAAUUUUAUUUGUCACAUACACAUGGUUAGCAGAUGUUAAUGGGAGUGUAGCGAAAUGCUUGUGCUUCUAGUUCCGACCAUGCAGUAAUAUCUAACAAGCAAUCUAACCUAACAAUUUCACAACAACUACCUUAUACACACAAGUGUAAAGGAAUGAAUAAGAAUAUGUACAUAAAAAUAUAUGAAUGAGUGAUGGCCGAACGGCAUAGGCAAGAUGCAGUAGAUGGUAUAGAGUAUAGUAUAUACAUAUGAGAUGAGUAAUGUAGGGUAUGUAAACAUUAUAUAAAGUGCCAUUGUUUAAAGUGGCUAGUGAUACAUUUAUUACAUCAAUUUUCCCAUUAUUAAAGUGGAUAGAGUGAGUCAGUAUGUUGGCAGCAGCCACUCAAUGUUAAUGAUGGCUGUUUAACAGUCUGAUGGCCUUGAGAUAGAAGCUGUUUUUCAGUCUCUCGGUCCCCGCUUUGAUGCAUCUGUACUGACCUUGUUUUCUGGAUGAUAGCGGGGUGAACAGGCAGUGACACCGGGUGGUGUAGGUGUCCUGGAGGGCAGGUAGUUUGCACCCGGUGAUGCGUGGUGCAGACCUCACUACCCUCUGGAGAGCCUUGUGGUUGUGGGCUGAGCAGUUGCCGUACCAGGCGGUGAUACAGCCUGACAGGAUGCUCUCGAUUGUGCAUCUGUAAAAGUUUGUGAGUGUUUUUGGUGACAAGCCGAAUUUCUUCAGCCUCCUGAGGUUGAAGAGGCGCUGCUGCGCUUUCUUCACCAUGCUGUCUGUGUGGGUGGAACAUUUCAGUUUGUCCGUGAUGUGUACGCCGAGGAACUUAAAACUUUCCACCCUCUCCAUUACUGUCCCGACGAUGUGGAUAGGGGGCUACUCCCUCUGCUGUUUCCUGAAGUCCACGAUCAUCUCCUUUGUUUUGUUGACAUUGAGUGUGAGGUUAUUUUCCUGACACCAUACUCCGAGGGCCCUCACCUCCUCUCUGUAGGCCGUCUCGUCGUUGUUGGUAAUCAAGCACACCACUGUAGUGUCGUUACAAACUCGAUGAUUGAGUUGGAGGUGUGCAUGGCCACGCAGGCAUGGGUGAACAGGGAGUACAGGAGAGGGCUGAGAACGCACCCUUGUGGGGCCCCAGUGUUGAGGAUCAGCGGGAUGGAGAUGUUGUUACCUACCCUCACCACCUGGGGGCGGCCCGUCAGGAAGUCCAGGACCCAGUUGCACAGGGCGGGGUCGAGACCCAGGGUCUCGAGCUUAAUGACGGGUUUGGAGGGUACUAUGGUGUUAAAUGCUGAGCUGUAGUCGAUGAACAGCAUACUUACAUAGGUAUUCCUCUUGUCCAGGUGGGUUAGUGAAGACAUCAAAACUAUGAAAUAACACAUGGAAUCAUGUACAGUUGAAGUCGGAAGUUUACAUACACCUUUGCCAAAAACAUUUAAACUCAGUUAUUCACAAUUCCUGACAUUUCAUCCUAGUAAACAUUCCCUGUCUUAGGUCAGUUAGGAUCCCCACUUUAUUUUAAGAAUGUGAAAUAUCAGAAUAAUAGUAGAAAGAAUUAUUUAUUUCAGCUUUUAUUUCUUUCAUCACAUUCCCAGUUGGUCAGAAGUUUACAUACACUCAAUUAGGAUUUGGUAGCAUUGCCUUUAAAUUGUUUAACUUGGGUCAAACGUUUCAGGUAGCCUUCCACAAGCUUCCCACAAUAAGUUGGGUGAAUUUUGGCCCAUUCCUCCUGACAGAACUGGUGUAACUGAGUCAGGUUUGUAGGCCUCCUUGCUCGCACACACUUUUUCAGUUCUGCCCACAAAUUUUCUAUAGGAUUGAGGUCAGGGCUUUGUGAUGGCCAUUCCAAUACCUUGACUUUGUUGUCCUUUUGACACAACUUUGGAAGUAUGCUUGGGGUCAUUGUCCAUUUAGAAGACCCAUUUGUGACCAAGCUUUCAACUUCCUGACUGAUGUCUUGAGAUGUUGCUUCAAUAUAUGCACAUAAUUUUCCUACCUCAUGAUGCCAUCUAUUUUGUGAAGUGCACCAGUCCCUCCUGCAGCAAAGCACCCCCACAACAUGAUGCUGCCACCCCCGUGCUUCACGGUUGGGAUGGUGUUCUUCGGCUUGCCAGCUUCCCCCUUUUUCCUCCAAACAUAGCGAUGGUCAUUAUGGCCAAACAGUUCUAUUGUUGUUUCAUCCGACCAGAGGAUUUUUCUCCAAAAAGUACGAUUUUUGUCCCCAUGUGCAGUUGCAAACCAUAGUCUGGCUUUUUUUAUGGCGGUUAUGGAGCAGUGGCUUCUUCCUUGCUGAGCGGCCUGUCAGGUUAUGUCGAUAUAGGACUCGUUUUACUGUGGAUAUAGAUACUUUUGUACCUGUUUCCUCCAGCAUCUUCACAAGGUCCUUUGCUGUUGUUCUGGGAUUGAUUUGUACUUUUCGUACCACGUACAUUCAUCUCUAGGAGACAGAACACGUAUCCUUCCUGAGUGGUAUGACAGCUGCGUGGUCCCAUGGUGUUUAUACUUGCGUAUUAUUGUUUGUACAGAUGAACGUGGUACCUUCAGGAGUUUGGAAAUUGCUCCCAAGAAUGAACCAGACAAUUUAUUUAUGAGGUCUUGGCUGAUUUCUUUAGAUUUUCCCAUGAUGUCAAGCAAAGAGUCACAGAAUUUGAAGGUAGGCCUUGAAAUACAUCCACAGGUACACCUCCAAUUGACUCAAAUGAUCUGUUAGCCUAUCAGAAGCUUCUAAAGCCAUGACAUCCUUUUCUGGAAUUUUCCAAACUGUUUAAAGGCACAGUCAACUUAGUGUAUGUAAACUUCUGACUCACUGGAAUUGUGACACAGUGAAUUAUAAGUGAAAUAAUCUGUCUGUAAAAAAUUGUUGGAAAAAUUACUUGUGUCAUGCACAAAGUAGAUGUCCUAACCGACUUGCCAAAACUAUAGUUUGUUAACAAGAAAUUUGUGGAGUGGUUUAAAAACGAGUUUUAAUGACUCCAACCUAAGUGUAUGUAAACUUCCGACUUCAACUGUAGUAACUAAAAAAGUGUUAAACAAAUCUAAAUAUAGUUUAUAUUUUAGAUUAUUCAAAGAAGCCACCCUUUGCCUUGAUGACAGCUUUGCACACUCUUGGCAUUCUCUCAACCAGCUUCAUGAGGAAUGCUUUUCCAACAGUCUUGAAGGAGUUUCCACAUAUGCUGAGCAUUUGUUGGCUGCUUUUCCUUCACUCUGCGGUCCAACUCAUCCCAACCAUCUCAAUUGGAUUGAGGUUGGGUGAUUGUGGAGGCCAGGUCAUCUGAGGCUGCACUUCAUCACUCUCCUUCUUGGUCAAAUAGCCCUUACAAAGCCUGGAGGUGUGUUUUGGGUCAUUGUUCUGUUGAAAAACAAAUGAUUUUCCCACUAAGCGCAAACUAAAUUGGAUGGUGUAUCACUGCAGAAUGCUGUGGUAGCCGUGCUGGUUAAGUGUGCCUUGAAUUCUAAAUAAAUCACUGACAGUGUCAUCAGCAAAGCACCUCCACACCAUCUCACCUCCUCCUGCAUGCUACAUGGUGCGAACCACACAUGCAGAGAUCAUCUGUUCACCUACUCUGCAUCUCACAAAGACACCGCGGUUGGAACCAAAAAUCUCAAAGGACAGAUUUCCACCAGUCUAAUGUCCAUUGCUCGUGUUUCUUGGCCCAAACAAGUCUCUUCUUAUUAUUGGUGUCCUUUGGUAGCGGUUUCUUUGCAGCAAUUCGACUAUGUAGCCCUGAAUCACACAGUCUCCUCUGAUGUUGAGAUGUGUCUGUUACUUGAACUCUGUGAAGCAUUUAUUUGGGCUGCAAUUUCUGAGGCUGGUAACUGUAAUGAACUUAUCCUCUGCAGCAGAGGUAAGUCUGGGUCUUCCUUUCCUGUGGUGGUCCUCAUGAGAGCCAGUUUCAUCAUAGCGCUUGAUGGUUUUUGCGACUGCACUUGAAGAAACCAAAGUUCAUGAGAUUUUCCAGAUUGACUUAAAGUAAUGAUGGAUUGUCGUUUCUCUUUGCUUAUUUGAGCUGUUCUUGCCAUAAUAUGGACUUGGUCUUCUACCAAAUAGGGCCAUCUUAUGUAUACCAACCUUACCUUGUCACAACACAACUGAUUGGCUCAAACACAUUAAAAAGGAAAGAAAUUCCACAAAUUAACUUUUAACAAGGCACACCUGUUAAUUGAAAUGCAUUCCAAGUGACUACCUCAUGAACCUGGUUGAGAGAGUGUGCAAAGCUGUCAUCAAGCAAAGGAUGGCUACUUUAAAGAAUCUCAAAUAUUUAUUUUGGUUUGUUUAACACUUUUUUGUUUACUACAUGAUUCCAUAUGUGCUAUUUCAUAGUUUUGAUGUCUUCACUAUUAUUCUACGCCAGCCAGCAAGUUAGUUAGCAUGAGCUGCUAGGAGUGCUAACUAGCAACCUUACUACUAGAUCAUCUGAGGUAAAAUACAUAAAAAAAGAUAACGUGACUUAAUUGCAGUUGUUAAUGUUUCCACUAGUGACUGAUAGCUUUACAGUUAAUGUUACUUUAUAGCCUUUUAGCUAUUUUACGCAGCAAUUUUAUGUCAUAUAGCUAAAUAGCUAGCUACGUUUUUAAGAGAGAGCUUUCAAUUGGCAUCUCACCCCCUGUUUUCAGUCACAGGUGGGGACUGAAUUAGGUGUGAGCAGUGCAGGAGGUGGUCUCAUGAGUUGUGCUCCAAUUUUACCGGGGAUAGCUUUAUUUGUGACCUAUGUACAAAUUAGAAUUGAGCAAUAGCAGAGCAUAAGAGAGUUGCCACAUCAAUGUUAGACUGAAAUAAUAAGUUAAGUUACGAGUUAUUCUUAUUAAUGGUUAUAUUCCAAUGUUAUUUAAUGUUAUUAGAUAUAUUCCAUUCCAAUAUUCCAAUUAAUAUUUUUUUUAUGAACUAAAAACAAGUAUUGAAAACCUUUUGCUCCUGAAUGUCAUUUUAAAGACAGCUGAGAUAAAACAUAUUGCAAUAUUCAAAUAAUAUUUUGUGCAAUUGUACAUAAUGGAUUGUAUUGAAAAGGAACAACAAAGAAAGAACAAAGGAAAUUAAUGUGCAGGUGAGUUAAAAAGAGGGACUUUACAUCAUAUCUGCUCAUAGUGCGUAUAUUAAUUGUGACAUGUGCAACAACAUUUCCCCCCAUAUUUUAUUUAAAUAAUUAAAAUAAGACAACUAGACUUAGCUUUUAAGUAUUACUUACUAAAUCAUUUCUUAAUAUAAUGGAUUCAAUUUAUUUUAACACACUUGCGUGAAACCCUAUCCCAUAAUCUUCUACUGGGGUAACUUUUUUUUAGAAAAGCCCCUUUUCAGAAAAAUCUUGGGGGGGGGGGGCUAGUUACCCCCUAGUACCCUAUAGCCUAGUAAUGCAAUUGAAAUUCACAUUGUGCACUUCUUCGAAUAAACCCUCCCAUUCACAUAAUUGUUAAAUAAUUAAACAAUAAAUGUACUUGAAAGUCAUGAUCAUGCCCAAAGCUAUAACUGCUGCUUUCAUCUUGAGCAGGCUUUGUCCAAUCUUGCCAUGUCAUGCCACGGUACAUUUCACCGAAAAACAGCUUAAAUCAAGUGUGUUGAACACAGUUCUACUAAGUGAGAUGCAAUAAGUACAUUAAGUAGAACAACCGUAACAAAUAUUGUUCCCCGCACCACGGUUGAUGCGGGUGCCUACCCAGCAUUGACGCGAAAGUCGGGGAGCCGAGCACAGUGUAUUGACCAGCAUGUUCAAGAAGCAGCCAGUGUUUCAGUGGGGGGAAAGGAUAAUGGGAGAAAGAUGAGAAGGAAAACAAUAGCAAAGCGCAUUUUCGACCUCGAAUAUGAAGAAGAGGAGGAGGAAGACCCCAAAUAUGAAGACUUUGGCAACACGACAUCGCACAGCCAGCCUCUAUGUCACAGACUGCAGAAGAGAAGAAAGCACACACACCCGGUGAAUGAGAACGUAGAAGAGAAUCCACCAUGCAACAUCGCUCUCCAGAAGUUGAAAACAAGGGUACCAGUGUCUGACAACCCCAGUGUGGAACGCAUAGAGGAGGGUGACUUCAUGGCAGAGGGUCUUGGAGGCCUACAGUCACGUUCAAAGGCUGACCUGGUUGCCAUGGUGCUGAGCAUGCAGCGAGAGAUGGACAACAUGAGGGAGCAAAUCAGAUGCCUCACAGCGUGUGGAAAGUUGGCACGUAACCUGGAGGCCCUGAUUGAGAGGACGGAGGUGUGGUCGAGCAGCACGGACCGCAGAACUACAUCUCCCAGCAUGCCUGAGAUCCUGGUGAGGAGUGGUGCCAUGACAACGUCGGCCCUGCUGGCCUCUCCAGGGGUGCUGAACGGGUGCUGGGCAGCCAAACUAGAGCCCCUCCACCCCCACCAGAAUGGACAACCUCCUGGGUCUCAUGAGGGGGGUUCCCAGAUCAACGGACCACCUCUCUAUCAGGAGUUCAUCACUGCGGAGCUGCUUGACCGCUGUAACACGGGGACCACUGCCCAGAAGCUGACCAAUGACCUGCUCCGGGGCCUCUAUGAAAGGGACUGCCUGGCCUCUCACUCCAUCUCCGGCAUCGUCAACAACAAGAGGGGCCAACCCAAGCCUGCCCUGCCUGCAGACGAGAUCCAGGCAAUACUGAGGGCGGUGCAGCACUACUUCCCAGGGAAGACAGACUCGGAGAUCAAGGGCUACAUCCGCCAGAAGCUGCAGAACGAAGCCAAGCGGCUCCGCAAGAAGCCUCAUCUGGCCGUGAAGGUGGAGCCAGAGGCCGGGGCUGAGGGGGCGGAGACUACUUUCUACACCUAAGCGGUGUGGCCCCGCCGAACCCCACCCCCUGUUCCACCCAGGGAGUGAAGUGCCCCGCCUCUGUCCAGGUUAAAGUGCAAUUAUGGGAGGGAGACUCGCGUAAAAACUGCUGUGAGAGGGAACCAAAAUGGAGCAGCCUUAUCAACACCAGUCUAGUCUAUCUGUUUGUCUGUCCAUUCCCAGCCACGUCUCUGGGCUGGGGGAGAAAUAGGCUAGUGAGGGAGGAGUCUAUUUGUCUGACAACGUGAUCAUUCCAGGGGAAGUGUUAUGGACUCCAGUCUGAUCAAGACUAGUUACUGCUCAGGUGAAGUUAGAUGAUACUGUAGCUUAUUCUUCCUCUGCCCUCUGGCAUCGUUGUCAAGCCUCAGCCAGCUAGCCAGCCAGCAGUAGUAGGCCUAGUAGAUGGCAAGUGAUUUGUUACCAAGUUUAGUACUCUUGUUUCUGUGAAAGGGGUAGCAGUCAGUUGGUGCUCUAUAGAGAAGUCGUAACAGAAGUCCUGAACAGCAUAGCCGUCAGCGAAGCUGCGCUGCACUCUGUGUCACUUCAGUUUGAUUUACAGUAUUGUCAUUGACCUCGUGAAAUGAACCUAGCCUUAGUAUUGAAUUAAUUUCAAUUUUGCUGAAUAAAAAAAUGACUGUUUUUUUCCCAAAGCAUCAUUGUGCUUUUUUUAAAACAAUUUUUUAAACAUUAUUCUGUUAGAACUAGACGAAACUAGAACUGAUACUUUCGCGUCAUGCUAUCAUAGCAGCGAUACCCUCGAGACAUUUUAGAAAUGGUAUCUUGUAAAACAAACAAUUAUUUUCUAAUGAUUACUCUUUACGUUGUAUGCUGCAUCAAAAUGAACCCCUAAUUAUUACCUAACAAUUA